AUGUCUUCCUCCAGCGCCGCCCCAAGCAAUCUCGGUCAGGUCACGGAGAAGCUCUCCCGGACGAACUACGUCUUGUGGCGAACUCAGGUUACGCCGCAGCUAAGGGGAGCUGGGCUCUUCGGCUACGUCGACGGAACGAUGCCGGAACCCACCCGCCUCCUCGUCGCCAAGGACAAGGACGGCAAGGAGUCGUCGACGGUCAACCCUCUCCAUCCCAUCUGGGUGAGGGAAGAUCAACAAGUGCUCGGCUACCUCCUCAACAACCUCUCCAAGGAAGUGCUGAUCGCGGUGACCACGGUC
rnacentral:rRNA from 1 species